GAUGAACGCUAGCGGCAGGCCUAACACAUGCAAGUCGAGGGGUAGAAGUUUUCGGACUUUGAGACCGGCGCACGGGUGCGUAACGCGUAUGCAAUUUGCCUUACUCUAAGGGAUAGCCCAGAGAAAUUUGGAUUAAUACCUUAUAGUAUAUUGAUGUGGCAUCGCAUUAUUAUUAAAUAUUUAUUGUUGUAAGAUGAUGAUUCGUCCCAUUAGCUAGUUGGUAUGGUAACGGCAUACCAAGGCGAUGAUGGGUAGGGGUCCUGAGAGGGAGAUCCCCCAAACUGGUACUGAGGCACGGACCAGACUCCUACGGGAGGCAGCAGUGAGGAAUAUUGGUCAAUGGGCGCAAGCCUGAACCAGCCAUGCCGCGUGCAGGAUGAAGCAUCUAUGGUGUGUAAACUGCUUUUGUACGGGAAGAAACACCUCUACGUGUAGAGGCUUGACGGUACCGUAAGAAUAAGGAUCGGCUAACUCCGUGCCAGCCGCCGCUGUAA
rnacentral:rRNA from 1 species